rnacentral:rRNA from 1 species
GAUGAACGCUGGCGGCGUGCCUAACACAUGCAAGUCGAGCGAACGGACGAGGAGCUUGCUGCUCGGAUGUUAGCGGAGGAGGGGUGAGUAACGUGUGGAUAACCCACCUAUAAGACUGGGAUAACCUCGAGACACCGGAGAUAAUACCGGAUGAACUGUUGAUCCCCAGGGUUCAAAAGUAAAGGACGGUCUUGCUGUCACUUAUAGAUGCAUCCGCGCUGCUUUAGCUAGUUGGUAAGGUAACGGCUUACCAAGGCAACGAUGCAUAGCCGACCUGAGAGGGUGAUCGGCCACACUGGAACUGAGACACGGUCCAGACUCCUACGGGAGGCAGCAGUGGGGAAUCUUCCACAAUGGGCGAAAGCGUGACAGAGCAACGCCGCGUGAGUGAUGAAGGGCUUCGGAUCGUAAAACUCUGUUAUUAGGGAAGAACAUAUGUGUAAGUAACUGUGCACAUCUUGACGGUACCUAAUCAGAAAGCCACGGCUAACUACGUG